rnacentral:rRNA from 1 species
ACGCUGGCGGCAUGCCUAACACAUGCAAGUCGAACGAGACCUUCGGGUCUAGUGGCGCACGGGUGCGUAACGCGUGGGAAUCUGCCCUUUGCUUCGGAAUAACAGUUAGAAAUGACUGCUAAUACCGGAUGAUGUCUUCGGACCAAAGAUUUAUCGGCAAAGGAUGAGCCCGCGUAGGAUUAGGUAGUUGGUGGGGUAAAGGCCUACCAAGCCGACGAUCCUUAGCUGGUCUGAGAGGAUGAUCAGCCACACUGGGACUGAGACACGGCCCAGACUCCUACGGGAGGCAGCAGUGGGGAAUAUUGGACAAUGAGCGAAAGCCUGAUCCAGCAAUGCCGCGUGAGUGAUGAAGGCCUUCGGGUCGUAAAGCUCUUUUACCAGGGAUGAUAAUGACAGUACCUGGAGAAUAAGCUCCGGCUAACUCCGUG